rnacentral:lncRNA from 1 species
GUUGUCUUUUAAAAGGAAUAUUAACAAUAAAGAGUUAACUUACAUAGUAUUAUAAACCAGUUUCAUAUAGAAACACGAUGAACAAAAAGAAAUGCGAAACCUUAAUUCAUCCGGAACGUCAACAUUUUGUCACUGUAAAUAGGAUGAUUUUUAUCGUUGCGUUUUUAGUCAAGCUAUAUCAGUGAUGUCUUUUGAUUUGUGACUCUUUGUUUACUCCUUGGUUUUGAUUGUUAUUG